CAACAAUUAGGCAGCUAGUUUUAACAUCGUAAAAUUCAGGGACUUGUCUUGGUAAGGUUCAAAUUUCAACAAAAGAGGCUGUCGGCACACAUUUUUGCUAUUGAAACAGCCACCACUCGCCAUCACCUCCUUCAAAUAUAGGAAUCUGGUCUUCUUAUUCUGUUUGAAGCCACAAGCACUCGGAGAUCGAUAUUACCUGGAUGGAAAUGGCGACAAGCUUGAAUGUGACUAAGACGAUUCUGGUCAUAAAAAUCUGUAAUUGUGUAGUUCAAUUACAUUUUCAAAAUUCUCUGUAUGGUUGAAGAGGCA